UUAAACAUAAGAGUUUGAUCCUGGCUCAGGAUGAACGCUGGCGGCGUGCCUAACACAUGCAAGUCGAACG
rnacentral:rRNA from 1 species